UACGUAGGGGGCAAGCGUUGUCCGGAUUUAUUGGGCGUAAAGAGCGUGUAGGCGGCUUGGUAGGUCCGCUGUGAAAACUCGAGGCUCAACCUCGAGAUGUCGGCGGAAACCACUUGGCUAGAGUCCGGAAGAGGAGAGUGGAAUUCCUGGUGUAGCGGUGAAAUGCGCAGAUAUCAGGAAGGACACCUAUGGCGAAGGCAGCUCUCUGGGACGGUACUGACGCUGAGACGCGAAAGCGUGGGGAGCGAACUGG
rnacentral:rRNA from 1 species